UACCACUAACCAGUUCAUUCUCAAUCUGCAAUCACUGCCAAUCAGUCACUUGACGAGUUUUGGGCGAGGCGUUUUCAAAAUACUUUCAAUACUUCAAUUUUAAUACUUAAAUCCUGACGCUUACAAAAAAGAGAAAAAAGAGGUAUGUUCUUGUGUUUUAUAGUUUAUUGUAAAGUACUUCACAUUCAUGGCAUAAAAGUGAUUAAAUUUUGUGUUUAAUUCGGCCUCGUGUUCGGCCAUGUUUUCGCUUCGCUCGUCUUCCUAAAUUUGCAACGUUAAAUUUUUACAAAUAUUCUUUGUUGUCCGUUUUUUAUCCGCGAAGAAAUGCUUGGAUAUGAUAUUCUGUUUGUGGUUUAGUUGAAUUUAUUUUACAAAUUUCUCAUUUUCGUACUAAAAGUAAGAUAUAUUUAAAAUGGUAUUUCGCUGUACUUUAUCACUUGUAGUGAAAUGAAGCAAGGAAGGACCUAAAUAAUUCUUUUAACUAAGGAAUUUUUGGUGAAAAAAAACCGCUUAUGAAUUGUACAAUUGUACAGUUAAAAAAAUUAUAAUAGAUCAGAGAUUCGGGAAAACGGGAAAAAUCGCAAAAAGGUUAAUUACCACAAUUGCUAAAUUCUGCCAUGAAAUGAAAAAAUACUGACCAGCCUGGCCUUGGUGGAAUAUUAAGAAAUUCUUUUUAAUAUUCUAGUUUAUAAAUUAUAAUGAUGGCCAUUACAAUUUGUAUCAACCAUUUUUUGCAGAAUGCCCAAGUACGAAAUGUCAGUCCCCUUAAAGGGGGCUGACAUUAAUACAUUAAAAGAAAUGUUUGACAAAGAAAAAUACGAGAUCUCCUAUGACGGGGCGGUUUUCCACUGCCGCCUCUUAAAUAAAGAGAGCAAGAGGUGCCUGAGGUGGCAGUGGAAAAGCCGUGUUAAACGCAAAUUGAAGCGGCUGGUAAAAAGAAAAAUUAUGCUAGAACAACCCAAACCACCACCUGUGGGAAAACCUAUAAGGAAGGUCAGAAGGCGAAGUAAAAUGUUACAUACAUACCUACGUACAUACAUACAUCUAUAAUGAAAUUAAUGCAGAAAAUGCAAAUUAAAGAAAUGAAUGUUGUUAUUAAAACACUCAAUGGUAAACAGAUUAGAACUAACUGGGCAUCUCGUAAGCCUCAGCCACCACAGGUGGAAAGACUGAUGAGUGUAUUUGAAACGUAUGGAAAUAUCAUUAUUAUUCAAGUACUCGCUGACAAGGGAUACGCUUUUAUAACAUAAGUCGAUUUGAUGAUCACUAUCCUGCAGCUGAAGCCAUUUGUAGUAUGCAUGGAGAGAAUCUUGAUGGAAACGUUUUAAAGUGUUCUUGGGGAAAAGAACAGGUCCGAAGAAUCCGUACGCAGGACAUAUGGCGCCAGGAUAUGCACAAGGAGGUCCACACAUGCAGAAUCAAGGUGGUCCAAGAAAUGGUCAGCAAGGCCCGAAUGGAGUUCACAAUACGGGCCCUCAAGGAAGGCGGUAUGGGAUAUUGAAUACAGCCUGCGGGUUUCAGGCUGGUGUUUGACGCAAGAGAUUCCCAACCUUGGGAAACAUGAACCAAAAAAAAUGAUGCCAAAACUUGUGUUUGGUGGUCAAAAAAAGUGGAGGGAAAUUCUCUGGUUGAACUGUUGAGCGUCAAAAUUAACGUCUCUCAAUGUAAUGUGAGGAAAUUGUAAAGCUAUAUGUUUAUCAGUCAGGAAACACUGUAAAAAAGAACAUGUUAAAUCAUUGUCAUCUUUGUCUAGCUUAGAUAUGUGUUUCGGUAGAAAUGAA